UACCUUGGUUAUUUCAUACCAUGGAUAUACAUUCAACAAAAUCUCGUUCUAAAUUUUGACCAAAAUGGUAAUGGUGACAUUGUUACUGAAAACAACAUGUUUUGUGUUCGUCAAAGGCUCACAAAUCCUAAAAGCGAACUCUGCCACGACCAUGCGCAGUAAAAUAUUCAGUAUUGUUACCUUGAUGCCAAAUAUAUCCUUGGUUAUUCCAUUCAAUGAAGACAUUUUAAACAGUGUGAAGUUGUUGUCAAAUCUGGAUCGGUUUUGAAAUCCAAAUUUUUUGUGUGCUGUCGAUUUUAAAGGCUUUAACGAAUCCUAAAAGGUACGUCUUUCCAAAAUCAAACCCCAAUCUGCCGUGCCCAUAGACAACAUAUAAUCAACGGAUCGGCGGAGUUAUGUCGCUUUAAAAUGACAUAAUCUCGCGCGGGACAACGCCAGACCUCUGUCGUUUUUAACCGUCAUAUCUCCGUGCAGAAAUCUUUGCUGGAGAAACAUUUAAGAAUUUGGAUUUUAAAGCUUGUUAACAAUCAGCAUAUAAUCGCAAAUAUUGGUACCUAGUUGACCUAUAUAUCCUUGGUGAUUCCAUACCAUGGAUAUAGUCCUAGCGAACCUAAAUGACAAAACACGCAAGAUCAUGAUCCAAAAAUAUGCAUGCUUUUUUACCCCGCCCCCUGGAUGGUUCCUAGUUGACUAUCAUAUCCUUGGUUAUACCAUACCAUUGAUAGAGUCCUUGGGAACCUAAAGGAUCAGAUCCCUGCAAAAUGCGCAUGGAAAUGGUCCAAAAACAUGUAUGCUUUUUCUUUCAGCAGGCCUUUUACAUUAGCUGCAGCUGCAGCUGUUGUUUAACAACCGCCUUACAGCACUCUUUUUACAUGAACUGCUACUUAACAGUACUCAUUUUAAAUGAGUUACAUUUUUGCAAUUUUUUAUUCGAAGAACUCGGCGACCUUCUGGGCAUUUCUGUUCGCCUGGUACUUGAGUGGAAUUUUAGUGCUAAUUUGGGACCGGCGACGAGGGCGCCCCUUUUUACUACGUCAUUUUCGGCCGCAAAAAUAUUAAUUGUCGACCUUCUGGGCAUUUCUGUUCGCCUGGUGUUUUUGGGAAAUUUUAGUGAAAAUUUGGGACCCAGCCGGCGACGAGGGCGCCCCUUUUGGGUAUGCAAUGAAAUUUUUCGGCAGCUAAAAAUAUUUAUUGUCGACCUUCUGGGCGUUUCUGUUCGCCUAGUAUUUUGGCAGAUUUUAAGAAAAAUCUCGGCAGCCAGCGGUUGCCAACAGACCGCCCCUGCGGGUAUGCAAUGGAUUUCUAAAAACAGUUAAUUUUUGAAUUUAUAAAUAAAAAAACAGGAUUUUCAUUUUAAAUAAUGCAUUUAUUUUUGUUUAAAUUUAUAAAAUAGUUUUUUAUGCUUAUUUUCUUAAUUAUUUCUCUUAAAGGUGUACAA